rnacentral:rRNA from 1 species
GACGAACGCUGGCGGCGUGCUUAACACAUGCAAGUCGAGCGGUAAGGCCCUUUCGGGGGUACACGAGCGGCGAACGGGUGAGUAACACGUGGGUGACCUGCCCUCAGCUCUGGGAUAAGCCUGGGAAACUGGGUCUAAUACCGGAUAUGACUUCGCAUCGCAUGGUGUGGGGUGGAAAGUUUUUCGGCNGGGAGUGGGCCCGGCCGGCCUAUCAGCUUGUUGGUGGGGGUGAUGGCCUACCAAGGCGACGACGGGUA